GACGAAUGCUGGCUGCGUGCUUAACACAUGCAAGUCGAACGGUGAAGGGGAGCUUGCUCCCCGGAUCAGUGGCGAACGGGUGAGUAACACGUGAGUAACCUGCCCCGGACUCUGGGAUAAGCGUUGGAAACGACGUCUAAUACCGGAUACGAGACGAGAAGGCAUCUUCAUCGUCUGGAAAGAUUUUUUGGUCUGGGAUGGACUCGCGGCCUAUCAGGUUGUUGGUGAGGUAAUGGCUCACCAAGCCUACGACGGGUAGCCGGCCUGAGAGGGUGACCGGCCACACUGGGACUGAGACACGGCCCAGACUCCUACGGGAGGCAGCAGUGGGGAAUAUUGCACAAUGGGCGAAAGCCUGAUGCAGCAACGCCGCGUGAGGGACGACGGCCUUCGGGUUGUAAACCUCUUUUAGUAGGGAAGAAGCGAAAGUGACGGUACCUGCAGAAAAAGCACCGGCUAACUACGUGCCAGCAGCCGCCGUAA
rnacentral:rRNA from 1 species